rnacentral:rRNA from 1 species
UACGUAGGGUGCAAGCGUUAAUCGGAAUUACUGGGCGUAAAGCGUGCGCAGGCGGUUUUUUAAGACAGAUGUGAAAUCCCCGGGCUCAACCUGGGAACUGCAUUUGUGACUGUAGAGCUGGAGUACGGUAGAGGGGGAUGGAAUUCCGCGUGUAGCAGUGAAAUGCGUAGAUAUGCGGAGGAACACCGAUGGCGAAGGCAAUCCCCUGGACCUGUACUGACGCUCAUGCACGAAAGCGUGGGGAGCAAACAGG